UGGAAUUCAAAAAAAAAUGGUUACAGUCCAUUUAGAAUUGGAAAUUUAAGAGAAAUGAUGUUGCAGGACCAAAUACAUUCAAAGUAUUAUGAAUUAAACACGCUUCAUUUUAGAGGAAUUUUAUAAGAAAUUAUUUCCAUAAUAUUUGCAUCAUAAAUUAUAAGGUGAUCAUUUUCAAGUAUCAGAUAUGAAGGGACAGCAUAACAACAUGAUUCACAACUCAGACAAAUACUUCAAAUAUCAGAUAGCAACUUUGUCGAUUUGGUGAAAUUUGACCAGCUUUAAAAUUUGCAAGAAA
rnacentral:misc_RNA from 1 species